AAGUAAUCCUCAAACCACACUUUUGACAAACUCUGGUGAAGGGCUUUCCUGGCCCUAGCUGGGACCCAACUUCCUUUUCUCUCUCCCAACUACAGCCUCAUGGAAGCUAGAUGUCUGUAGAGAUCCUGGGAAGAGAGGAUAACCCUGGAGUCCCAGAAUGACAGCUUGCAAAGACCCCAGGAGGCCAGCCCACAUUAGGAUUCUACUAAACAGAAGGGUCAGGCCUGUACAGUGUGGAUCCAGAGGUCAGGUGACGGCCCUGGCAGAAGUCACAAGGAAGCUGAUAUGAACUCCAUGUGAGGAAUAAUUUUAUGGCAAAUCUUGUGUGUCACUCCCAGCUUAAGGUCUAGCAGGAGCACUCCCACAAGCCAUGGACAGCUAAAUCCCCAGCAAGCUACAGGGCCCUUCAGAAUCCAGACCCUGCUUCCUUCUCUGGUUUCUUCUUACAGCACCCCUCUUCCAAAACUGCACCUGCCCCAAUUUUCCCAUGCUGACCCCUCUUAGUUCCCCAAGCAUGCCAGGCCCUCAAGAUCUGUUAACCUUCCUUAAUUGCCUAUCUACUCCAAGAUUUCACCUAUUCCGAUAAGUUUUCCUGGCCUAUCUUUUCCCUACUCUUAGCUUAGUCAAUUUCUAGUCACAGUUUAGAAGUCCCUAGUGCCCACAACUAAAUGUUCCCUAAUCCCCACAACUAAAUGAAGUGGCCUCUGUUCUCUGUUCCCUCUAUACCCCAUAUAAAAAUUGCUCUGACCCCCAUCCCCAGCUCUGAUGUACUCCCUGUACAAGAAAUAUUUACUGAGUUGAACUGUUGAAUUAUAAUGCUGUUUACUUACUGUUGCCCCAAGAAGUUAAGUCCUCCAAGCCCCAUAGGCUGGUACUUAGUAAUUGCUCAAUAAAUUUCUGAAAAUGAAAGCAUGCAGUGCCCAGACAUAAAAUGAAAUAGUCCACAUUGAAAGGAAGUGAAUCCCCAUUGUGAUGGUUUUUCAUUCAUAUAGAGACUGACCCAGCCCCUGUCAGAGACCUUGGGGGUGAGCUAAUUUAAAGAACGCUGGAAGUGCCCCAUGGUCCCUCUGACAUGAAGAUUAUAGGGCAAUGACUCUGGCUGGGGUCUGAAGCUAUCUGUUUGAUAGCUUCUAAGGCCUGUUGAAGCGAUCACUUGAUGUCAGUUUGGUUCACAGCAGUUCAUGUUCAGGGAAUUCAUUACAAAGCAGCAACAGGCAUGGGGGGGGGGGACAGGUCACCCAGGUUCUCUUGGCCUCCAAUCUUUAGGCAGUUUCUGUCUUAUUCUUCUCAGCACUCCUGGGAAUUGCCAGAAUUGUCUGGCUUCCCUGAGCAUAGAGGCCUCACCAGCAUUGAGGUAAAGCCAGUUUCCUGAGCACUAACUACCUGGAUGUCUUUUGGGUACAACACUCUGCAGCUGACGUUACCUGGUUGUACUCAAAGCCUACUGUAUGCCAGGUUCCAGUGAGCAGGACAGAUAUAAUCUGACUUUCCCCAGCUCACUUGGACUUGGUCUCAUAGGCCAUCAAGAUGGGGGCAGAUCAGGUUUCCAGGCUGGGCCUAUCAUGGUGAGGGAUUUACCAGCUAAGCAGAAGGCCAAAUGUAGGACAAGUCAGGAACUUAGACAAUCAAUGUUCUGAGUCCCAGGCAGGUAGCACUCAGAGCUGCUGGGGAGGGUGCUUGGCUUUCUGUAGUCUACCCCUGAAGCACAAAUCUUUCAGAAUGUAUUCACAGUCUGCAAGAGUAUAAUUAUUGAAUUAUAAUACUGUUUAACUACUCUAGCCCCAUGAAGCUAAGUCCUCUAAGCCCUAUAAGCUGGAACUUAGUAGCUGC
rnacentral:lncRNA from 1 species